rnacentral:rRNA from 1 species
UACGGAGGGGGCUAGCGUUGUUCGGAAUUACUGGGCGUAAAGCGCACGUAGGCGGCUUUGUAAGUUAGAGGUGAAAGCCCAGGGCUCAACCCUGGAAUUACCUUUAAGACUGCAUCGCUUGAACAUCGGAGAGGUAAGUGGAAUUCCGAGUGUAGAGGUGAAAUUCGUAGAUAUUCGGAAGAACACCAGUGGCGAAGGCGACUUACUGGACGAUUGUUGACGCUGAGGUGACGAAAGCGUGGGGAGCAAACAGG